rnacentral:misc_RNA from 1 species
UGUGGGAGCGGGCUUGCCUGCGAUGGCGUCUUAUCAGCGUGUAUAGCGUGUGCUGAUCUACUGCCAUCGCGGGCAAGCCCGCUCCCACA